rnacentral:lncRNA from 1 species
UCCUGUGGGACCAAUAGCCAUCCACAUCACCUAUACCAUCCAGAGCCAGGGUAAUAUCGUCAAGAUGGGGCUUUACAAAAUCCUACACUCAGGCAACUCUGAAGCCUUGGCAGCAUUUCUUCCAUAGUUGGGGGCCUGAAGUUGACCAAAAGAAUCAAAAUCAGCCAAAGCCUGUGGACUCCACACUUGGUGAGAUAAUUCAAAAGGGGAAGGGAAUCUGGGCUGGGACGGUUUCUUUCAGGGAACCCUGGCAGCUUUGAGG